rnacentral:lncRNA from 1 species
AGGAAGUUGGCUUCACUAGGGCAAGGAAUGAAUGGCCACCACUGCUUUUGUGCCAAAGGACUAAGCCUCCCUGGGAGAGAGGACAAGAACAGGCUGGAGGAGGGGUGCCCUUCAUCAUCUUGUGAGCAUCUGGGCCAAGUUCAGGGCUGGUGCUCUCGUUCAGAUAGAUUUAGCUGGUGGUGCAGAGAUCCGUGAGCUUGCUUUUACAGGACUUUAAUGAUAUAUAAAAGCAGCACGAGGUGCUCCUGACUGUGGAUUAAUUUGGAGAUGACUUUCUCUGUUGAAGAGUAGCAAGACUCUCGCGAGUUCUUAAAAAUGCACUUGUUUGGUAUGAGAAUGAAAAGCAGUGGCUGAAGAACCAAUCUUCAAUGGGCAAGCCUUCUCUGUGUCUGUUCUAACACGUGCCAUUUGGGAUCCCUUGGAAUCUUCAUGUACAGAACUGGUUGCUGCCUCGUUGAGUCGGUGGGGACAGAAUAGCUCCUGGUUGACAGCAUGGGUUGUGCAGAAGGACGGAUCCUGCAGACAUCAAUAUCUGGCUUUGAGUGGCACAAAGAAAUAAAGGAAUGUGGAUUCAGACCUCACUGGGAUGCUUGGCAAUUCUAAUUCUACCCCAGACUGCAAAUGGACACACAACUGUUGUGACUUUUGUUGAAGAGGAGAAGGAUGGUGAAGGUCUCUUUAGUCAAUAAUCUCUUUGCUGAAAUUGCUUCGGGCAGCACAGAAGCUGGAUUCAGAAGCACACAGGUCUGGGGAUGCAGGCUUCGGCCAGCCUGAUGCAAGGAAAGACUGCCAUCUCGUGGUCAGCUCAAUCCUGGCACCUUGGUGAGGGACCAGGCUGCAGAAAACCAGGCUUGGGGAGGAAACGGUGCUGCAAACUGGAUUUCUGCCGGACAGUGUGGAUGCCCUUAGAAAACACCCAGAAAAGAGCUGAGUGCCCCCCAAGGUAGGCUUCAGUGAAUCCUCUGCAGGUGUGUUGUCAUCCCUUGAGCCAAACACAUGCUUCACACACACGCUGCAGGCUGCGUGAAAAUGAGGUAGAAAUGUGGGGAAAACAUAAUCCCAUGGAGAGAACAAAGAGCUGAACACGUAAAUGCCUCCGGCGUGCCUGGCAGAGAGAACACUCAGGCUGAGAGAAGGGACAGUGACUUGUACCAAAGGUAGGCAAGUAGCCUCUGGGGUCUCAAUCAGCAGGGCAUCUGGUCAACCCUUCAGACAAAGUCAGGUCUGAGCAGGCAAGAUCCAUGGAUCUGAUUUAUUAAUAUUUUUACAAUUAAAUAGAAUCUGAUUGUAAAACUGUUACAUGUGUUGUAAGAAAAAAAGAAAAAAAGGAAGGAUAUAGAAAUGUACAAAGAAGGAAAUAAAAGACUGGAAGCGUCCUCACCUUAGGGACCCAUUAUUAACGCUUAGGUGGCCAAUCUUCCAGACAUCUUGCUACGAAUAUAUUCAAACGGGAAUUAAAAAUGUACUUUUACACAAGUGCAAUCAGACCUUGUACUCCUCUAUCCCAUAACCUACUUUUUCAUUCAACACUAUGACAGAAGCGUCUUUCCAGGUCCAUAAAUAAAGGCUGUUUCCCAUAUAAGGUUCAUGACCCCCAGUGAGGAUGAAACUGCCUGCAAGGUUUGUCUUCUCUCCUGUUCACUGGUUACUCAGCCAGGCUGAUUCAUGGGCUUCUCAAAGGAGCUUGUUUAUCAGAAGCUUGUCUAAGACACCACGUCUUCCAGAAAAUCUCACCUGAGUCACCAACAGAUUCCUCUAAGAGUCUGUAAGCCACUCCUGACCAGCAGGAAACCCCAACAGAGGCAAAGAAUAGGAAAUUAAAUAUUUCGUCAAGAAAAAAUGAGAGGCUGGGUGCGGUGGCUCAUGCCUAUAUCCCAGCACUUUAGGAGGCCUAAGCGGGCGGAUCAUUUGAGGUCAGGAGUUUGAGACCAGCCCGGCCAACAUGGUGAAACCCUGUCUCUACUAAAAAUACAAAAACAAUUAGCUGGGCAUGGUGGUGGGUGCUUGUAAUCCCAGCUACUGGGGGAGGCUGAGGCGGGAGAAUCGCUGAAACCCAGGAGACAGAAGUUGCUGUGAGCCGAGACCACACCACUGCACUCCAGCCUGGGUGAGAGUGAGACUGUCUCAAAAAAAAAAAAAAAAAAAAAAAAAAAGCAAGAAAGCUCCCAUUUAGAUCACUCGGACAAAAGAUUUCUUUUUGUGCCAAAAUGUUCCACUAGGCUUCCAGUUUUUACCACAUAACUUGACAGUCAUGCAAGACUUAAGUGUAUUUUCAGCUAUCCUUUCUCUUUCAUUUAUUUCUGUUUAAUAAGCUCUGUCCAUUGAUUCUAGUUAGUACAUUAUAUAUCUUUUUAAUCACUUACCUGCAG